rnacentral:rRNA from 1 species
GACGAACGCUGGCGGCGUGCUUAACACAUGCAAGUCGAACGGAAAGGCCCUGCUUUUGUGGGGUGCUCGAGUGGCGAACGGGUGAGUAACACGUGAGUAACCUGCCCUUGACUUUGGGAUAACUUCAGGAAACUGGGGCUAAUACCGGAUAGGAGCUCCUGCUGCAUGGUGGGGGUUGGAAAGUUUCGGCGGUUGGGGAUGGACUCGCAGCUUAUCAGCUUGUUGGUGGAGUAGUGGCUUACCAAGGUUUUGACGGGUAGCCGGCCUGAGAGGGUGACCGGCCACAUUGGGACUGAGAUACGGACCAGACUCCUACGGGAGGCAGCAGUGGGGAAUAUUGCACAAUGGGCGGAAGCCUGAUGCAGCAACGCCGCGUGCGGGAUGACGGCCUUCGGGUUGUAAACCGCUUUCGCCUGUGACGAAGCGUGAGUGACGGUAAUGGGUAAAGAAGCACCGGCUAACUACGUG